UACGUAGGGCGCAAGCGUUGUCCGGAAUUAUUGGGCGUAAAGAGCGUGUAGGCGGUUCGGUAGGUCCGUUGUGAAAACUCGAGCUCAACCUCGAGACGCCGAUGGAAACCCUCGAACUAGAGUCCGGAAGAGGAGAAUGGAAUUCCUGGUGUAGCGGUGAAAUGCGCAGAUAUCAGGAAGAACACCCGUGGCUAAGGCGGUUCUCUAGUACGGUACUGACGCUGAGACGCGAAAGCGUGGGGAGCGAACAGG
rnacentral:rRNA from 1 species